rnacentral:rRNA from 1 species
CUUGGCGACCAUAGCGAAUGUGACCCACCCGAUCCCAUCUCGAACUCGGAAGUGAAACUGUUCAGCGCCGAUGGUAGUGUGGGGUCUCCCCAUGUGAGAGUAGGACAUCGCCAGGC